rnacentral:lncRNA from 1 species
UCCAAAGGUUGAUCAUUGUUAGUAAGUUACUCAAGGAGGUACCAAACAAAGGUGAACAUCAACUUAAACAAAAUACAGUAUAUGAAUGAAAAAAUCUCCACAGAAAUAGAUAUCAUAAAGAAAAAAAAUCACAAGUUCUGGAAAUGAAAGACAUUUAGAGAAAUACCAAAUACACUGGAAAAUUUCAAUAGACUAAACAAGUAGAAAACAAACAAACAAAAAACAACUUCACAGCUUGAAGACAAGGCUUUUGAAUUAACCCAAUCCAACAAAGACAAAGAAAAAAUAAUUUUUUAAAAAAUGAAAAAAGCCUCCAAGAAAUUUGGUAUUGAAAUCAUAGUCUGCAAAAGGAGGCCAGGACCUUGUAAUCAACAUAAACAGUGUGACUGCCUGCUAAAAUGCAAGAUAUAAAUAAGAUCCAGAGGCUAAUAUAACAUACAAAAUACAAAGAAAUCAUGUCUCAUACAAGAAAAUCAACCUGAAGGAGAAAAGGCAAUCAACACCAAAAGGUAAGGCUCAUACUGAGAUGAGUCAGAUCUUGGAAUUAUUCGAAAAGGAUUUUAAAGCAGCCCACAUACAUGCUUCAAUAAUCAAUUAUAAAUUCUUUUGAAACAAAUAAAAAUAAACCCAGUCAUGAAAUAGAAAUUAUAAAAAGAACCAAAUAGAAAUUAAAGAACCAAAAAACAUAAUAAUGGAAAAAUAAAUUUGCCGAAUGGACUUAAUAUUAGAGUGGAUAUGACAAAGGAGAGAAUCAGUGAAUUUAAAGACAUAUCAAUAAAAUUUAUCCCAAUCCAAACAACAGGGAGAAUGCAGACUGUAAAAUAAACAAACAAACAGAAAACAAAAAUAGCACCUCCAACACCUGUGGGACAAAAUCAAAAGAUCCAUCAUGUGUUGUAUUAGAAGCCCACAGGAUGGGAGAAAGUGAACCUGAAAGAGUAUUCAAGGAAAUAAUGGCUAAAAAUUUCCCAAAUUGGGCAAAAGACAUAAUCUUGCAGAUUCAAGAAGCUGAGUGAUCUCAAAUAGAAUAAACUCAAAGAAACCUGUGCCAAGACAGAUCAUAAAUAAAUUUCUAAAAAUAACUGAAGACAAAAAAAUAUAUAUUGAAAGCAGCCAUA